GAAACUAGCUGGAAAAGAAAAUGUCCAUUUGGCCAAACGUUGUGUGUUUUUAUCUCCCUGGAUGUUCUUCCAGACUCCUGAGAUUUCAUUCAUGUCACUUCACAUUUAAUCCCUCACCUCUUCUCUCCCACUUUCCUCCUCUCUCUCUGCCGAUCUCUUCAGCGGAGAACCUGUGUUUUUGGCAGGCGUGUGAGGACAUGCGACACGGAGAGACCUCAAAAUCCCAGAGAAGUGGAUGAGAUUUACAAGCAGUACCUCGCUCCUGGAGCCACACAGUCAGUCAACAUCGAUGGAAAGACAAUGGCCAUCACUCUGGAGGGAAUGAAGAACCCAGAUCGCUUCGUGUUUGACAGUGCACAGACACACAUCUACGUCCUCAUGAAGAAGGAUUCAUACACUCGCUAUCUAAAGUCUGAAGAGUACAAAAGCUUGUUAGCCAAAACUGUAGUACCACAGUAAACAAAGAAGAGGUACACACUCUCUCUCUCUCUCUCUCUCACACACACACACACACACACACACAGACA